rnacentral:lncRNA from 12 species
AUGAAUCUCCAUUCUGUCAUUCUGCUUUCUGCCUUUGCAUAUGCAACAUAUGGAAAUGAAAUUAAACCUACCAAAACAGAGGAGUUUGCCUACGAGGGUUCAAGUGUUAAAUUAUCCUGCAGUUAUUCAUCUGCAUUCUAUCUUCACUGGUACUGUCAGUAUCCCGGAUCAGCUCCUCAGUUCAUUGUGCUCAUCUCAGACAGUGCAAAAGAAGAUCGGAAGUCUAAUGUAGAUUCCAGAUUCAUGGCUAAAGUCACUAAAGACAAUAAAGAAAACCAUGUGUAUCUGGAGAUCUCCUCUACAUCUAUAUCAGACUCUGCUCUGUACUACUGCGCUCUGGAGCCCACAGUGACAGGAAACACAAGAACACUGUACAAAAACCUGAUAUAACUAUAACUCUACCCUCUACAAAUUAGACUGGAGCACAUCACAAUCAAGAGAAUCACAUUCCCAAAAUAUCAGCUCAGACACUGAGAACAAAAUCUGAUAAAAUGCAUUAAAAUAUCUAUGUUUAAAAUGUUAUAAUAACUUUGUAAAAAGAAAAGAAAAGAAAAGAAACUAAAAGUAAUGAAAAGAAAAGUAAAGAAAAGAAAAGAAACCACAUGAUGACAAUAUGUGCCAUAUAUUUAUAUCAUCUCAUUUCAGGAUCACUAGCUCCUCCUUGCUUUAAAUAACAGUUCUCUCAUUCACAUAUGUGUUUCUCUACCUCUUUCAUUAAUGUACUGUCUGUACAACAGAAAAUUUGUCAUUUUAAAAAGUUUUAAAAAUGCUUAGUUAUUAGACAAAAUGGGACAAACUGUAAUUACACAAUAAUGUAGUCCUAAUUUAAGCAAAUGAAUAAAAAAUUAUAUUAAAAAAAAAGUUCAUCCCAUCCAGGUAACAGCUGCAGAACUGUUAAAAAUAAUAACAAAUUAAAAUAAAUAAAUAAAUAAAUAAAUAAAAGACUGAUAAUAAAUAAUUUUAACUAAUCAAAUUUAAAAUAACGAUAUUAAUGUGGUCUGUUGCAAGUUUACAUAACCUACUUGAGUAU